CAAACUUGACGUCGCGAGAGGCAUAAAUUCUCCGGUUGGUCGGUUCGAAACAUAGGUAGCAGUCUUGAUUCAUAGAAUAUCCGACAAAUAUGCAUUCGGCAGAUUUGGCCUUCAGUUUGUUCUUUCGAUAGGGUCGAAGACACGGGUAACACCUGCUUUCGAAUACACGAAGUUUUGAAUAUUCCGGUUGUUGGAUUGGUUGUCCAUGGAGAAUGAGGGUGAACCAAAGGAAGCCAUGGAGCAAUCAACGUUUGGAGGAGAAUGAAGAGUAAAUGUGGAGGUAGAACUUUUGGGCAAAACAAACUUACUUUGCCUUUAUUGUAUGAGGGUAUUUAUACACAUUUGAGUAUAACAAACCCACAAUUAUGUGAGUGGGGUUUGUUAUCUUUUACAACUUUGUAUUUCUUAACUAUAUAUAUCUAUAAUUACUUAUAUCAUAUAUAUAUUCCAAUAUUUCCCCUCAAGUUGGCGAUUGAGAAACUACGCCGAGCUUGGAUCUUAUUUCAAGAAAUCGUGACGAGGGUAGUGGCUUAGUGAAGCCAUCUGCUAUCUGAUCUCUUGUAGAUAUAUGAGUGACAUGUAUUUCUCCAUUUUUGACUAAUUCUCGUACGAACCCGAAAUUGAUUGCCAUAUGUUUCAUUCUAGAGUGAAACACUGGAUUGUGUGCUAAAUAUUUAGCCCCAAGGUUAUCCGUCCAUAAUUGAGCUCGUGAAAUUGGUAUUAGUCGAAUCUCCCUUAGUAAAUUCCGAAUCCAUACUGUUUCCGAUGCUGCAUCAGCCAUAAUGCGAAACUCAGCUUCUGUGGAUGAUCGUGCAAUUGUGGGUUUGGUUGAUAUGGGGAAUUAAUUUGUGGGUGGUUUUCUUGGGCUUGGGCCGGGUUAUUAUUAUUAUUUUGAUUUUGAUAGGGGUUAACCCUAAAUUGACACUUAUACGGGCUGUGGCCCAUGCCCCCACAAACCGGGCAUGGGUCUCUUCUGACUUGUGCGACCCGCCCACGAUUUCCUCUUCCCUUCCCCAAAUUGUUCCGGCCGCCGCGACCUCCCCUGCCACCGGUGAAACUCGAAGCCGGCGAAGACGUCCCUCCAAAUCCGUAGUUUGUCGCCGUCUGGUUCAACACGGGGAUCGAUUGCCGCAUUUUCAUCCGGAUUUGGUGGCUGGACAUCACCUCGAGCAGCUCGUCGAAGGUGACAGCCGACUGCCGGAUCGCCAAAGCCGUCACCGCCUCGCCGAAGUCUGGUCCCAGAUUGUUGUAGAUCGUCGCGUUGAAAAUGCGAGUGGGAACAGAUGCCCCCGCCGCUGCCAGUUCGUCGGCCAGUAGCUUGGCUCGCCGGAGAUAUGUCGUGACAUCCUCGCCGGCGGCGUGUCUGUUGUUCUGCAGCUGCAUCUGGAGCUGGAGGAUUCGCGACUCUGAUGGUCGCCCAUAUGACAUCGCCAAUGUGUCCCAGAUUGUAGCAGCGGAUUCCAAUCCUAACACCGUGGGGAGCACCUCCUCGGAGAGGGAGGAUAAAAUCCAACUAACCAACAGUUGGUCCUUACGCCACCAUGCCAUAUAGAUUGGGCAUUGUGGAUUGGGCGUAGGAGGAGAGGUUGAUUUGUCGAUCAAGAACUUCAUGUCAAAGCAAUUUAACAAUGGACUGAAUUGCAUUUUCCACAAGAGGUAGUUUGUUGAUGAUAACUUGAUGUGGAGAAAAUUCUGGAUGGAUCCAAAAGAUGGGGAUCCAGCCAACAUUUGAUGAGGGAGCAGUGCUAGAUUGGAUCCAUUUGGAUCAGCAACUGCUGGAAUUACCAGUGAGGGAUGAGGUAUCGAAGAGUGCAGCGGAUUCGCGUUCGAUGGAGCCACAGGAUCGACAUCGGCGGAUGAUACCAUGUUGGAUUGGUUGUCCAUGGAGAAUAAGGGUGAACCAAAGGAAGCCAUGGAGCAAUCAACGUUUGGAGGAGAAUGAAGAGUAAAUGUGGAGGUAGAACUUUUGGGCAAAACAAAACUUACUUUGCCUUUAUUGUAUGAGGGUAUUUAUACACAUUUGAGUAUAACAAACCCACAAUUAUGUGAGUGGGGUUUGUUAUGUUUUACAAUUUUGUAUUUCUUAAAUAUAUAUAUCUUUAAUUACUUAUAUCAUAUAUAUAUUCCAAUAUUGGUGAAUAUGUCGUUGGUGAAAAUGAUGGUUGAGGUAGUUGGUUCGUACCUUGUUGAAAUAUUGUCGGAUGGUGUCGGGUGUUGCCAUACGACGGUGUUGCAUAUGGUUGGAAGGUUGCAUAAGAAGGGUUUAAAGAGAACGACGUCGGGUGGUACAUCUCCGACGGGUAGGUCAAACCAUAUGGAGGUGAGCUCAUCAUUGAAAGCACCAAAUGAUAGGAC
rnacentral:lncRNA from 1 species